AUGCAUCUGAUAACAGACAUCGAACGUAUUAAUGCGCAAAAAAGAGUUGCGGUGAUUUGUAUUUGUCUGUGUUUAAUUUAAUUCCAAUAAAAAACAGUUUCCCCUGUCUGAUACUGUUUUAUUCUUACCCCUCUGUAUUUAAAGUAUUUUUAACAGGUAGGAUAUUCUAGUAAAAGGGUUAGUGCAUACAUCUAUAGCUUUUCAUUUUAAACGGGUAGGACAUUCAGAUGAAGGAAGUGAUCUUCUUGUGGUUUCGUCAUGUAUAUAAAUUGUUCCAAUGCUAAGCUAACCAUAACUCUUAAGCUUCCACUUCAGUCCCGUCACUCAAAUAAUGUUAUUCAAUGUAUUUAACAUGAACAACCUGCUGUAGUUUCUGUUUGUAAACAUGCCGGUAGGAGUUUUGGACGCGCAGCACAGACAGAUAGACUUAGUUAUCUAUCCGGAAGGAAAAUCUGACGAGGUAGCACUCAUAGUCAGAACACUGGUUCUAUACUGGUUCUGAAAGCGGUUCUGCAGGAAGAUCCAAACAGACGGAUGCCGGUUCUGAUAUAUUUGGACCGGAGGAACUCUAACCGAACCGGACCCUGAUCCAAACUGGAGAGCUCCGGAGCCGAUCAUGAACUGGAUCUCCGGAUCAGAACCUCCGAACCUUUUAAAUAAAACUACAAAAGAAGUUCUGAUGUCAGAAUUCGAGUAGAACCUCAGUCUAAACUCUGAUGGUUCGGUUCGGUUCGGUCUUU